UACGUAGGGUGCGAGCGUUAAUCGGAAUUACUGGGCGUAAAGCGUGCGCAGGCGGUUCGUUGUGUCGGUGGUGAAAGCCCCGGGCUUAACCUGGGAAUGGCCAUGGAAACUGGCGAACUGGAGUGUGGCAGAGGGGGGUGGAAUUCCGCGUGUAGCAGUGAAAUGCGUAGAGAUGCGGAGGAACACCGAUGGCGAAGGCAGCCCCCUGGGCUAACACUGACGCUCAGGCACGAAAGCGUGGGGAGCAAACAGG
rnacentral:rRNA from 1 species